rfam:Salmo salar isolate Sally breed double haploid chromosome ssa28, whole genome shotgun sequence.
UGCAGGAAUUACUGUAAGUCACUUUGGAUAAAAGUAUCUGCUAAAUAGUAUAAA